rnacentral:rRNA from 1 species
AUUGAACGCUGGCGGCAGGCCUAACACAUGCAAGUCGAACGAGUGGCGGACGGGUGAGUAAUGUCUGGGAAACUGCCUGAUGGAGGGGGAUAACUACUGGAAACGGUAGCUAAUACCGCAUACCAUCGGAUGUGCCCAGAUGGGAUUAGCUAGUGGGGGGGGAAACGGCUCACCUAGGCGACGAUCCCUAGCUGGUCUGAGAGGAUGACCAGCAACACUGGAACGGAGAAACGGUCCAGACUCAUACGGGAGGCAGCAGUGGGGAAUAUUGCACAAGGGGCGCAAGCCUGAUGCAGCCAUGCCGCGUGUAUGAAGAAGGCCUUCGGGUUGUAAAGUACUUGCAGCGGGGAGGCGUUACCCGCAGAAGAAGCACCGGCUAACUACGUGCCAGCAGCCGCGGUAAUUC